CGGUGGCGCAUCUGGCUGUGACCGUGAGGAAUAGCGCACAGAGGCAGGAACCGCAGAGUAAACUCAGCUACGUGCUCUCUGCCUCUUUCUACCAAACUCAGGAACCGUGCACCAGCCAGCUUUUCUCCUGUGAUGCAGAGCUGCAUGGGUGGAUUGUGCAAGGUGACACUAUGAUUUGAUGGAGCUGCAUCAGGAAGCGCAGCUAGGUGUGUGACCAGCUGGAGGCCGUGUGUGAUUUCUGCACCCCAUCACAAGCUCCACUGGAGAUUUAAAACUCUCCAGGGGGGCUUCCCCGUACGACACAAGCCAGAUACAGAUCCGAGCUGCUGUGUGCUGCCGUCUUCAAAAGGGGUGGAUGCCUGCGGUCACUGCUCCUUGCCUAGCUCCUGGGCCUGGAUUGGCAGUAAGGGCUCUGUGGCCGUGAUCAAGCCCUGGAGGGGACCUGGAGGAGGAUGCCAUUGCCGAGGCGCUCCAUCAGCAGCUUGGAAUAGGACGACAUAGGUUGUGCACUUAACUUGGGGAGCAGACUGCAGACCAGAUAACCUUUGACCCCAAGGAUCUCCACACCUGGAGCUGCUUCCCGAUAGGGAAGACUAGUCAGACUAGUCAGUUUUUGCAAACCUGCAAAUACAAAAAACAACUCGUGAAAAGAACAGUUUUCAAAAUAGUGGAGCCAGCUCAUUCAGUGAAUAAGCCUUUUCAGAUGUUUGUUUUUGGAACUUUUUGAGAACCAAUUUUGAACCCUUAUUUUUGUGUGUGUGAAACGCUAACUUACCAGAACAGGAAAAAUACAGGUGUAGAGUAAACAGUAAUUUGAGCAAAACUAUCGUCUGUGUACACUUGGUAUCAUAUGUGCAGUUUAAUUUGGAAAGCACUUGUGAGUGAUGCUAAACCUUCUUCGAGUGGA